UGGGUGCAGCCCACUGAACUGUGGGCGCUGUCUUCCAGGCAUGCCAACAAAGAACAAAUCAGCAGCUCCUCAAAGAGAGGGACAGAAUCAUUUCAAAACUUGGAAUCACUACUGUGCAGUGCUUGCCUGAUACCCUGGUGAUAAAUUCAGAGCAGCACUGAACUCACCGGUUUUACAGACACAGGAACACAACACUUGUGCAAAGAGCUAAGUUCUAGAAGAUGGAAGUAUAUGCAAGACCAUCAGACUCAAAAACCUUUCUUUACAGAAACUAUAAGUCAGCAUCCAAGAAGGGAUUUUGAAAGGGAGCCUGUCCUGAGUUACUGCAGGGAUCCUGGAACUCAUUGGCAAAACAUGGAAGAGCAUCCUGCUUUCAGGUGAGAGGGAAACAAACUAAGGUUGACUUGUGCAGUUCCUUUCUAAUUCAAGAUGCUACAUUCCCUAGGAGAGACAGGAACAAGCCCUGGGCUAUUGGGUUUAAGUUCUUCCUUGACUCUGGAUAUUGUAUUUCCAGCACAUACCAUGGUUAUUCUUAAGAAGUUUAAGCAAGGAAAGAAGGAGAGAGCUAUGUCAGUCUCAAGGCCACCCAGAGGACUGUCCUGCAGGUCCCUACACUUUCAUGGAUUUUUACUUUUAGGAAUACCACCACGUUUUAAUGGGAAAUUUCUCUCCUUGCUCUGCU